rnacentral:rRNA from 1 species
GACGAACGCUGGCGGCGUGCCUAAUACAUGCAAGUAGAACGCUGAAGAGAGGAGCUUGCUCUUCUUGGAUGAGUUGCGAACGGGUGAGUAACGCGUAGGUAACCUGCCUGGUAGCGGGGGAUAACUAUUGGAAACGAUAGCUAAUACCGCAUGACAUUGAUUAUCGCAUGAUAAUUGAUUGAAAGAUGCAAUUGCAUCACUACCAGAUGGACCUGCGUUGUAUUAGCUAGUUGGUGAGGUAACGGCUCACCAAGGCGACGAUACAUAGCCGACCUGAGAGGGUGAUCGGCCACACUGGGACUGAGACACGGCCCAGACUCCUACGGGAGGCAGCAGUAGGGAAUCUUCGGCAAUGGGGGGAACCCUGACCGAGCAACGCCGCGUGAGUGAAGAAGGUUUUCGGAUCGUAAAGCUCUGUUGUAAGAGAAGAACGGGUGUGAGAGUGGAAA